ensembl:lncRNA
CCCCUCUCCUGAUAGACGUAUGUCCCUUCUCCAUCUCCAUCGCCGUCUGUCGCAGCAGGAACAAGCCCUCAACGCGGGAGGGAGAAACGCUAGUGCUUUGUCCCGCUCGGCUCAGCCUCCUCUCCCGAUAGGAUGAAGCAACUGGUGAAAGAUGAAGUUUUACUCCUUACUGGCAAACAGUGAAUUAGCUGAAAGAAAACACCCACGCAGAAGAUGAGUGAAAGACAGCCGAAAUUUGACGGAAGAAGCGUGUUCUUUCUUUGGUCUUCAUGAAGUAUUAUCCUGCAUCUAAUGGGACCUCCCAGGAGGGUCAGCUUCGAUGAGCAUUGGAUGAGCUCCCAUGGAUAAAUGCCACGAAAAUUGCACAAGAUUGUUGUGCUGUGUUAAAAUUCUGGCACGAAGGGCUGAGAAAGAGUCCAAGCUUCUCUACUCACAUCUCACUAAUACUCCUUUUUUUUUCUUUCCCAGAUGUUGCUCUUCCUUCUCUUCUAUUUUAGUCACAAAAACAAGUUUUUCGCCUGCACCCCAAUCUUCAACUCGCAGAUGACUUUUCUUUUGGAGAAAAGGGAUCUGCCCUUUAUCUCACAGAUCAUAACUCUUGAGUGGCUCGCAGGGAAGCUGUGUAUAUGAGCGGCUUCCUGCUUUUGGGUGCGUGUGAGGAAUAGCAUUUCAUACUGGAAAGGUCACUGCAGAGGCUGGUUUGUAUUCAGUGUUCAAAAGCAUUCAAUUAGGGCUGCUUUCAUCUGGUGUCCCGUGUUAUUUCUCAGGCAUUAAAGCCAGACACUGUCUCUGAAAGUAAAAUGAUCGAUUUCAUUCUUCUGCUUUUGAGGAAAGCCAUAUGUGAGAAUGAAGAUUCCUAUUUCAUGCGGCGGAUGGUCUGACUUCCACUGAAACACAUCAAUGGGCUGCAGCUAAGACUUCAACAGUUCCACCAGUUUGGCUGAUUGUUGGAUUACAGAUCGCUGCUCUGCUCUGUGUUCGCUGUAUGCCCAGAAGCACCUGCAAGAAAAAGGAGAAUAUGCAGUUAUGUCAAAGGUCAAAUCUAUUUUAGGUCAAAUAAAAACUGUAUGAUGCAUCU